rnacentral:rRNA from 1 species
GCGUUAUCCGGAAUUAUUGGGCGUAAAGCGUCCGCAGGCGGCCCUUCAAGUCUGCUGUUAAAAAGUGGAGCUUAACUCCAUCAUGGCAGUGGAAACUGUUGGGCUUGAGUGUGGUAGGGGCAGAGGGAAUUCCGGUGUAGCGGUGAAAUGCGUAGAUAUCGGGAAGAACACCAGUGGCGAAGGCGCUCUGCUGGGCCAUCACUGACGCUCAUGGACGAAAGCCAGGGGAGCGAAAGGGAUUAGAUACCCCUGUAGUCCUGGCCGUAAACGAUGAACACUAGGUGUCGGGGGAAUCGACCCCCUCGGUGUCGUAGCCAACGCGUUAAGUGUUCCGCCUGGGGAGUACGCACGCAAGUGUGAAACUCAAAGGAAUUGACGGGGGCCCGCACAAGCGGUGGAGCAUGUGGUUUAAUUCGAUGAUACCCGUAGAACCUUACCUGGACUUGACAUAUAGGGUCAAGCUAUAGAGAUAUAGUGUGCAUUAGCGCCCUAUACAGGUGGUGCAUGGCU